GUGAAUCAUCAAAUUUUUGAACGCAAAUUGCGCUUCCUGGCAUCCCGGGGAGUAUGCCUGUUUGAGGGUCGGUAUUAAUAAAAAAUCGGUCUAGGUACAAAGUGUGACGUUUCCGGAGUUUGGGCGACCUUAACAUUUUUGGUUAAGAGGCUUAAAAUUGACCUCUUUUCCGCAUAUUUAAACGUACAUAAAUUUUUUUUAUUCGUCUAUUCUUAAUGCCAAAAUAUUAUUAGAUGCGAACACAUCGUGAGGUU
rnacentral:misc_RNA from 1 species